AAGAAUUCCAUGAAGUAUAGGAAGCAAAUCAAUAUCUUUAGAUGUGGAAAGCGGUCCAGUAUGGUUUGCAAGAAUACACUGAGCACGCAGGCCAAAUUCAUCAUCUGGUAGUCACAUGCUAGGCACUGGUUGUGAAAUGCUGUCGCCCAAGUACCAGCACUGCACAUGCCUACUGCGUAUAUCAGAUCCCCUGGUAUGUGACUUGAAUACCUCCCUUCCUCCCCGUUUGUCUCCCUUCUGAGAAAUGCUAAGUAGAGUACCUAAAAUCAGCAAUGGAAAGGAAUGCUCAGCAAAUUUGAAAACAAUGCCACAGGAUCCUUGAAAACCAAACAACUUAGAAGACAGCCGACACCAAGAUCCUUUUUUGGAGUCUCCACGCUCUGCUGCUGCUUUCCAGCAGUUUUGCCUAAGAUGGAAACUUAAAAGGUCCACCAUGAUCUUUGCUGGAGAGAAGAGUCCACUUUGAAGCUGCAAUCCAAUGAAUACGUGGGUCAUUUUGAGCAUAAAACACAAAGAGACAUGAACUGUGCAAGUUUUCUCUUCUCCAGUGAUAAGGAGACCACAGGUGAAUGCAAGCUGCAGAUCACAUCAUUGGCUUGAUGGCCACAGGCAUGCACAGCUGAGUCGUGCAGCUGGACAGACGGAUUCAAGGAUAAUGGUGACAUCACUUCUUUCAGAAAUGAAGACACAAAUUCCAUGUUCAGCAAGACUGCUAGAAAUUAUCAGUACUCUACAUUAUUCCUCAGUCUGAAUCAUCAUCAUAUUAUUGCCUCUCAAGUUCACACUCUGAAAAAGUAAUCGACUUUUUUAAUAACACAUCUCGGUACAGAACCAGUGAGCCAACAUAUCAUAAGAGGAUAAUUAUAUGGGUAGUUCUUGCCUUUCUACUAGUGUCUUAUCCUUAAGAUCUAAACAGCGGACACACUUUCUAUAGCACUGCUCAUCUGAGCAUAUCAAAGUGCUUUAUAGAUGUUCAUUAUAAGUAAUUACCAGCUGGCAUGUGUGAAUAAUUUACAGGGUGGUAGAAGUGGAAUUCCUAUGGCUCUCUCGCUUUGUUUCUCCACUGUGCACUUUUUACCCUCUCCUUCGUUCUUCCUUUCUUUUCCUGGCCAUUGCAAAUUAGGCAUGUCAGUCAUUUGAAUAUCGUUCUCAACCACAUCUGUAGGUGCCUUUACCUGUAAAUACAUGGCCCUAAAUUUGGAAGCAAACCUAAAGCAGAAGGCUAAAGACAGAGAAGCCUUCCCAAAACCAGCUUUGCCAGUGGGCAGGUUUCUGCCUCCAGCUGCGUUUCACCUCUCAUGAACUGCUCCACCAGCGCUAACAGCCUUUUCCUCAGGUAAAAUGUAAUGGCAACCAGUAAGCAGGUGUGAGCUACAGGGAAGUGAGCAAGAACGUGGCUCACAAUUAUGUCCCACAAAUAUGUUGAGAAAGCCAGAGAAAUUAACAGACCAGAACUCACUAGAUUCAGCUAGAGUCACUUCUCAAUGUGUCUCACGAAGUCAAAUACAGUUUAAGCAUUCGAAGGCUAUCAAAAAUC